AUUUGCAAAGAUGGCUGGUUUAGCAGCCCUGAUGACCCGUAAAAAACGGGACCGGAGAAGAGAAUUGGAACAGAUGAAGGAAAAGUUGGCCGAUCCUGUGGCACUUUCCGAGGUAUGAACUUAUCUUUUAGCUUGUAUACUUAGUGGAAAUAAAUAUGUAACCGUGCGAAUCAAUUAAACACUAAACAUCAUUCCAUGUUUUGUUAUUGUAGUUUAUAGAUGAUGAUGUUAUAGCAGUACUGUAAUAGCAGCCAAGUAAAAAAAAGUGUUGUUUUGUAGUGCCUGGUUGUUACCUCCUCCUACCUGUAGCGUGUCUGUCGUAGGUAGUCGCAAAUAAGCAAUAAGUAUUUAUCCUCUAAUAUUCCUCCUCUAUUGUUGUGUCCGCCUUGUCAACGCUUUUGUGCAUACAUACAAAUUAUAAUACACAAACUGAAAAGUCAUGGCGGCCGUAAUUGGGUCCAUGUUGAACCGGAAGCAAGGGAGCAAGCGGAAGGGUCAACAGCAACAGCGGCGUCCUUUGGAUCGCUCCGAAUUACAACCCCACAGAGCCAACAUCACGAUCAAACCUUUCCCCCAAUUUCCCCCAAAAUGGUUGACCGGAAAAGAAGCGGAGGAAGCAAUGAAGGCAAAAGCGGCGCAUGAAACGAUUAAAAAAAUUCUCAUUGGGAAAGAGUUACUUCAUCAAAAAUCGAAGCAAAGUUUCGAUGCCCUGAGUCAAAUCUCGUAUAAUGAUGAUGAAGAUUCUGGAAAAGGGGGAUUAAGCAAUGCGUACUCGGCAAUUUAUAUCGGUCUCAUAUUAAUAUGCAUAGGAAUAGUCAUUACGUUCGUGGGCCUUGGAGAAAAGGGAUUCAAGACAUUACAACUUAAGCUUAUCGGCCCAAUUCUCUGCAUCAUUGGAUUAACUUGUAUCGUUUUGAAAGUUAUUCAGUGCACAUUUCCCAACCUGUUUGUCAUACCGAUGGCAUUUAGAAGGAAAAAGUUGGGAGACAAAGAGAAGACAAGUUUAAUGGAGAAAGGGGACAGUAAACAUUCUAGUGGAAAAAGCAGGAAUUCACGAAGUAAGACGAAAAAGGGGGCAAAUAGCGGGGAGGAAAAUGAAGAUGGCGAAAAGAAUAAUAAACACGAGAACAAUUCACAAUCCACGCCGAAAAUCAUCCCAUCGCCGCGAGUAACGUUGCAAUCGUCCAAAAAAUCUGUCCGGCCACGAUCCACGAUACCAAACUAUAUCGAAGCCAGCUCGGACGAGGAUGACUUUGACCCGCAGAGAAAGUGGAGAAAAUCUGACACUGCUUUGAACCAGGAAGUCAGGAAAAUAAUGCAGGUCGAGCCCUUGUCAGACGUGGACGCCAUAAUACAAAAUAUGACUCCGGCAUCCAUUAAAAAGAAGUCGGCAACUCCGCCAGCUCUACUUUCCUCUGGAGAAAGUGGCGCUGGGGAGAAUGUAAAAAAUCAGAAAAAGUCGAUGAAAGAGGACGAAAUUGUUUUAAAUCCGAGAGGCCUUCUUCUCUAAAGAUGCAAAAGUGGAAGACAUUUUUGGUGAGAUGAGAUAAAAUGACACAGAAAAUGAUGGGCAAUAUCUAAUUCAGAUAAUAUGUACAAUUAAUUGCAUUGUAUUAUUCUCGUAAAUUGUUGAUAUGUAUAUAUUGCAAAUUCCAUGCACAGAAUCGUAUAUGCAUUUACUAUUAAAAAAAGUCUAUUCGCAUCUUGUUCAUCACUUACUUCAACUUAAGUGUAAACCUUAUAAAUAAUUGUAAAUGUUAUUUAUUCAUGUAAAGUAAGACAUAAAUAUAAUAAAAAGAGAAUAAUUAA